rnacentral:rRNA from 1 species
AUGUCGGCGCCGAAGAUUGUCGUCCAUGGCAGUGGUGGUGAGCUUCAUGAGGGAGAUGAGGAACACCACCUCGACGUCGAGGCGGGUGACGGCAAUGGCACAACGAUGAGGAGCAGUACACAGGUGACAGCGCAGGGGCGCGAGCGUCUGGUGUCGCUCGACGUCUUCAGGGGGAUCACCGUUGCGCUCAUGAUCAUUGUCGAUGAUGUUGGUGGUCUCAUUCCAAAGAUAAGCCACUCACCAUGGGAUGGCGCCACACUAGCGGAUUUUGUGUUCCCCUUCUUCCUCUUCGUCGUGGGAAUCUCAUUGGCCUUUGCCUACAAAAGGGUGUCAAAUAGAGUGUCGGCAACCAAGAAGGCCGUGCUCAGAGCUGCAAAGCUCUUUCUUCUAGGCCUAUUGCUUCAAGGUGGCUUCUUCCACAACAUACAUGAUCUUACAUAUGGGGUCGAUAUUGGAAAGAUACGGUUAAUGGGUGUCUUACAGAGAAUUGCAAUGGCAUACCUAGUGGUGGCACUAUGCGAAAUCUGGCUACGGGAUGGUGGAGAAGGUGGCAUAGGCUCUGGCUAUGCAAUAAUCAAAAAAUACCGAUGCCAGUUUCUUGUGGGUUUAGUCCUCACGGCCACAUACACGGUGAUUUUGUACGGUCUGCCCGUGCCGGACUGGGUAUAUAGUGUCACAUCAUCGGACUCAACCAUGAAUCAUUUUGUGGUGAAAUGUGGAGUGAGAGGGCAUACAGGACCAGGUUGCAAUGCCGUUGGCAUGAUCGACCGAAGUAUAUUUGGAAUCCAGCAUCUUUAUACACGCCCGGUCUAUCUCAAAACAGAGUGGUGUAGCAUCGACUCCCCCAACAAUGGACCGCUCCCGUCUGACGCGGCACCAUGGUGUGAAGCCCCUUUCGAUCCAGAGGGCCUCCUAAGCUCCUUGAUGGCAAUAGUCACCUGCUUGGUCGGGCUCCAGUUCGGACAUGUCAUCAUCCACUUUAAAGAGCAUGAUGAGAGAAUGGUGCGGUGGUCCCUCUCGGCGUUGAGCUUAUUGGCUCUAGGCUUCUCACUCGACUUGUUUGGGUUGCGCAUGAACAAGUCACUAUACAGUCUUAGCUACACAUGUGUAACCACCGGCACAGCUGGCCUUUUCUUCACGGGGAUCUAUCUGUUGGUGGACGUGUACGGUUACAAGAGGCCGGUUCUCCCAAUGGAGUUGAUGGGAAAGCAUGCCCUAAUGAUUUUUGUUCUGGUAGCAUGCAACGUCGCGCCAAUCCUGCUCCAGGGGUUCUACUGGAGGGUACCAAAUAAUAACCUUUUGAAACUCAUUGGAACAGGCGAUUGA